GGUGUAAAGCUACUAAACAGGCAAUACAAAAAUAAGUCCUGUUUAAAGGUUCAAAGUCCUUGUAAAAAAGCUGAUGACACG
rnacentral:ribozyme from 2 species